rnacentral:rRNA from 1 species
GACUCUCGGCAACGGAUAUCUCGGCUCUCGCAUCGAUGAAGAACGUAGCGAAAUGCGAUACUUGGUGUGAAUUGCAGAAUCCCGUGAACCAUCGAGUCUUUGAACGCAAGUUGCGCCCGAAGCCUCCGGCCGAGGGCACGUCUGCCUGGGUGUCACGCA